CACCCAGCACAAGACGUCAUUUAGACGUUGUUUUUUGGGCUAAAUCACGUCGGCCCGUCAUGACCUUCAUUUAGUCCAAAAAAAGACGUUGAAAACUGGUCUUUGUUUGGUCCGUCUAAUUCAGUCCAAAUUUAGCCUAAAAUUAGACGUCUUUUUCGGACCACUUUUCAACGUGUCUCCAUUCAAUAAUAAUCCAGACAAAAUAUGCAUGAAUGUAUACGCAGAAAAAAUAAAUACUGAGCACAUUGAACGAUAAUGAAAUGCUUUGUUUAAAGUCUAUUAAUAUUUCUGUUUAUUUUAAUUAAAUAAAUAUGUUAAAUGUGCUCUAAACAGGUCAUUUUGGUCCACUACUGAUAGAAGCACUUCAUUUUCAUCUUUUAACAAAUAUCUUUAUUUUCUUUUAAUAUGAUAUUAUUGGCAGAGGCGCGCGACCAUCUCAUGCUUUGUGGUCACGUGAUUAUUCAACCGGAGACGCGCGUUAGGGAUUUUCUCCUCAGACCAGUGUUUCUGUUUUGUGGUCGAUUCUGGGAUCCUUUUCUUGGUGUGUCUUGAUGUUUUCUAUUGGCUAAAGACAUGUCUCUGUGAAACUGACAAUCUCAGGUAGGAGCUGCUGGUUUGUGGUUGGCAGUAUGGAUCACAGUCUGCGACUCAUGAGGAGCUGGGCUGGAGACAUGAAGAGGUUGUUAACAGGCCAUCCAUCCAAGAUCAUCUAUCUGAGCUGCUGAAAACUGCCUCGGUACGGAUCUGUUGGAGCUUUGUGUCACUGACUGUAUUUCUGCAAAUUCCUGUUCCGUGUCAAAUGGCUUAUGCAAGACUGAAUCCAUAAAGGGGAUGGUCUGUGGAGACUGUGGGCGAUUCCUUCUGCUGUCAUUUAAACAUGAGCAGGAGUAAUGAAGGGAUUUAAAUGGACGAAGCUAAUAUUAUGCCAGAGUCCGCUGCUUAUGCUGUAACCAUAAAGCAACCAGGACAACACACCUGGAGUGACCGAGAGCAGGAUGAAAAAAGAAUCGGACGAGAAAAUAUCAAUUGGUGCCCAUGAGGAGACAUAUUGUUCUUGGACCUGCUUUUUCUGUUUAGUAAUAAGUGGUUUUAUGUGGUUACAUAAAAGUAAUUUAAUAUUCAAUCCACAAGCUAAAUUUCCUACAUUUUCUUAAAAGGGUAGUUGACCCAAAAAGGAAAAUUCUGUCAUUUACACAAACAGUUUGGUUACAAACAUUUCUCACAAUAUCUGCCUUCCUGUUUAUCAGAACAAAGAAAUGUAUGCGGGUUUGUAACAACAUGAGAGUGUGUAAAUGACAUAAUUUUCAUUUUUGGGUGAAGUACCCCUUUAACAUUUUUAUACACCGGGGUAGGGGUGUGCAGCGGAGUCAGUAUUUGUAUCUGUAACAGUCUCAAAAUUAUUUGUAUCUGUAUUUGUAUUCGGAUUAAACCGGAAGUGGGUGGGUUGACAACUCAUAUUACAUUAAAAUGGCAUUUUAAAUGCAUUUUUGCUUUUUAUUAUAAUUAUAACUUAAAUAACUGUAAAUAUUUAUUCAAAAUAAUAAUACAAAAUUUUAAUCAAAAAGACAAAUAACUUGAUUCUCGUUAGUAAUACUCAUGGAAAGCAAACAACUCAUUUUUAAAGCCUCAUACAGCUUGUGCUAUGCAUCAUUGUAUUGUAGCAUUAAAAUAACAAACUUGAAAGCACGUUGACAAAACUGUAGGCUAGAUCACCUUUAAAUGUUUAUUGUGCCUGUCAGCACAGUUCCAUGAGACCCAUUCUUUCUAAAUGAGUGCGAUGUUUUCAGAAAAAAAUAAGUAGCCUACAUUAAUCCCUAGUCUAGCGAUUUAAAUAUAGUAAUUAAACAUCUAAAAUUAUCGUUAUUUGUAAGUUUUCUAAAAGAGUGAAAUAUAACCUAAUACUACUCACAUCCAUGUCUGACAUCUUGGUUUCAGUUUAAAAACAUGCAGGAAUUUGAAAAUAAAAUGCAGGACUUGCUUGAUGCUUAAAGAGUUAUUAAGGGAGAUAAAGUUCGGGAACUGAUUUAUGUUAAAAAGUUAUUAAGAUCGACAAACUCGCGCUGACUGACAGAUCCGAAAUGCAACGCAGGGACACGCAAGUGGCCAGUAUAUGCACAGAAUAGUUCAAAAACAUCUGUUUUGAUAAGAAUUUACGAAAGCAUAAUAAGCAUUAGAACAAACUUGCUGAGCUCAUUUUUAUCUAUGUCCAUAUAGCGUUUGCGCGAAUAUAACGAAUUGUUUAAAAAAAAACUUUCUUAUUAAUCUUCAUCUAAAUAAAUAUAUAAUCAGAUAGUUGUUUAAAUUUUUAAAUAACAGUAUGCUCUAUUAAAAAUCAGUUUUGACUUAGUUCAAAACCAGCAACAUGAUUUGAAACAAUAAUGUAAUUAGAAAUAUUUAAUUCAAAUGUUUCAGUUGUUAUUUGCUUACUUUAUUUUUAUGUUAAUUGCAAUUCAUGUCAUAGUAUUCUUCAGUUUAAAUUUUGCUUUUAAAAUGUUACAUUUUCAUAUUUUUAUCUAUUUACUUAUUUAUUUUAUAUUCACCUAGAUUGACAAUAAAGCUUGCUUCGACUAGAAGUAAUUAAAAUAUCAUCUACCGGUGCCACAGAGAUACAGAGUUAUUAACGAAUAUUUUAUUAUCAGAGUGCAGCAUUUUAUCAAGGUUUUCUGUCCUAAAUAAAUAAAACGGAUUUUUUUUUUUUAAGUUGGGUUAAAAGAAGUUUGAUAUUAGCAGCGUUUUUAAGAUUUUAAACUAAUUCCAAAACAGCUCGCGUUUCUAAAUAAGGGUUGCGCCGAAAAUGUCAUUUUAUAGAUUGCACUUCACACACAUAUUAUUCUUGCUUUAAGGGAUUUAUAAUUUAGAGCUGUUCCAGUAAACAUGUGAUUAUGUCUUGCCGAAUAUUUUCUCUGUUAUUCGGAUGAAUUCGUUGUUCGUUUUGAAGCUAUUAUCCGUGCCCUUCCGAAUAACGUAUUCGGCUUCGGUCACAUCCCUACCCAGGGGUAAAAGAAAUGUAUGUUAAACAUUUUUAGUUUGUCUUUUUUUGUUACUGCUACUUUUAACAAGUUUCCCGCAGUAUGCCCACAUUUUUCCCACGUAUUUGUAUUUAAAUAAAUUUUUCCACACAGUAUUUUGUAUUUGUGAUAUCUGAAUUUGUGAUAGUAAUUUGAAUUUUAAAACAAUUCCAUGUAUGUAUGGCUAUCUCAGAUCAUAUGCAUGUGAAAGGCAGUUUCUGGUAUAAAUAGAUCAUGAAGGUAAGAAUCUUAACCAUGCCAGGUGAGGGAUAUAUUAUGGCUGAAAAAACAAUAAACCAAUUAAUGAAAUAUUCAUGUCAUAUGUGUGUUUGACAUAUAAAUUCGUAUUACCUUUUUGUUAGCUGUCCUAU